UAAUAUUUUAGAAAAUUCCUCCCAAACUUUGAAACCCACCGCAAGAAAGGAAAGCAACAUAGAAACCCUAUUCGUUCCAGUUUCACUUCCAGCUCUCGUUCUCCAUACACAAAUCGAGCUAGCGUUUCUUCCAGUUUUGUUAUCCAAUCGAGUUUCCAGCUUUCAGUUUCCUUCCCAAAUCGAGAAAGAGAGAAGUUGCAGAACACGAAGAUAAUUGACAUGAAGGUCUUUGAGAGAUGGAAAACGAAAAGUCGUGUGCAGUGGAUACGGAGCGAGAAUGUAUAGCAUGUGGUUCCUAUUGAUUCAAUGAAGCUCAAAAAUAGAGGCAGCAAUUGAUGAGGUUGCAGCCUCAACUGAGCAGUUGAGUACGUGUUAGUGAUUCUUCAGGAUUUCUCAAGACUAUUCAACAAGCUGUAAGAAUGAUCUUUCAAUUUUUAACGAUUGUGAUUGAUAAGAACUUAAUUAAUUGUUGUUGGUACUUUAAAUUGACUAGGAGAAUUCUGCUUAGUGAAAAGGAAGCAUGGAGCGGUUGCUAAGAAGAUUCUUGUCCGGAUUAUGUUUUGUUACUGGAAGAUUUCAUGGUACUUGUUGGAAUUGUUUUGCUGCAGGUACUAGGUACUUUUUGGUUUAUUUGGUCAAAGAGCCUUCUUGUUUGGAGUGUCUCCACCACAUGAUACAAUAAUGGAUAAACUUUCUGCUGGAUGAAAGGAAGCUAGGAGGUGUUGGAGUCUCUUAUAGAGUUACAAAGUGUAUUAGAAUGAAAAAAAAUAAGCUGGAGUCUCUUAUAAAGUUACCUAGUGUAUUAGAAUGAAAAAAACUAAGCUGUAUAUAGAUAUAAUUUAUGUUUGUCUGUAUUGUAUUGACCAUUCCUAUGUUACCAAUUGUGUGAUUCUUGAUUUUUAUAAGGAUUUAAUUUACUAA